rnacentral:tmRNA from 1 species
AUUUUUUAAAAUAUAUGCCCUAUAUUAUUAAUGCUGGCUUCGGUCAGCUAUGACGUUACACGCUUGUACGGAAUAGACGUUCGUGGACCCGGGGGCAGUACCCGGCGGCUCCACCAUUUUGGUUCUAAUCAUUCGAAAGAGCAGGACCAAGACGGCGGGGCCGAAACAGGAUCGACACGCGUAGUAAAGGUAUGUGGCGACGUUCGGCAUUGUAUCCGCCGUUACCGGGCUAAAUUCAUAAAUGCAAACGAUAAUGUUGCAUUCGUAGCAGCCAACGACAACACAGUUGUUGAAGGUGACGUACGCAAAGCCGCCUAAUUGGGCGUCUAGCAAAGCUACAUGAUUCCUAAUUGAUUAAUGCCUUUAGGUGGGGUUUGGCGGUACCUAGCAACAGAAACC